rnacentral:tRNA from 2 species
UUCUGGUUCGAGUCCAGGAUGGCCCACCUGAAGGAAGUCAAAAAUCAAAAGUCAAAAGUCAAAAGUAAAUAUUUUUGAGCCGUGACUAUAAAUUUUGAGUUCUUUUUGGGGGUUUAGCUCAGUUGGUAGAGCGCCUGCUUUGCAAGCAGGAUGUCAGCGGUUCGAGUCCGCUAACCUCCACAUUGGAAAAAAGACAGCACCUAACUAUAAAAGUUAGAAUGCUGGAUGAAAUUCCAGUCAGAACCUUGAAAACUGCAA